rnacentral:rRNA from 1 species
UACGGGGGGGGCAAGCGUUGUUCGGAAUUACUGGGCGUAAAGGGCGCGUAGGCGGUCUGCUAAGUUGGAUGUGAAAACUCUGGGCUUAACCCAGAGCCUGCAUUCAAAACUGACAGGCUAGAGUUCUGGAGGGGAUAGCGGAAUUCCUGGUGUAGCGGUGAAAUGCGUAGAUAUCAGGAGGAACACCGGUGGCGAAGGCGGAUCUCUGGGCCUUACCUGACGCUGAGGCGCGAAAGCUAGGGGAGCAAACAGG